ACCUAGCAAUAGGUUGAUGGCGACCGGCGCACGGGUGAGUAACACGUAUCCAACCUACCGGUUAUUCCGGGAUAGCCUUUCGAAAGAAAGAUUAAUACCGGAUAGUAUAACGAGAAGGCAUCUUCUUGUUAUUAAAGAAUUUCGAUAACCGAUGGGGAUGCGUUCCAUUAGGUUGUUGGCGGGGUAACGGCCCACCAAGCCUUCGAUGGAUAGGGGUUCUGAGAGGAAGGUCCCCCACAUUGGAACUGAGACACGGUCCAA
rnacentral:rRNA from 1 species